rnacentral:rRNA from 1 species
UACGGAGGGGGCGAGCGUUAUUCGGAAUUAUUGGGCGUAAAGGGCGCGUAGGCGGCUUGAUAAGUCAAAGGUGAAAUCCCUCGGCUCAACUGAGGAACUGCCUUUGAAACUGUCUGGCUUGAGGCCGGGAGGGGGUAGCGGAAUUCCCAGUGUAGCGGUGAAAUGCGUAGAUAUUGGGAGGAACACCGGUGGCGAAGGCGGCUACCUGGACCGGUUCUGACGCUGAUGCGCGAAAGCGUGGGUAGCAAACAGG